rnacentral:rRNA from 1 species
GGAAUUUUGGACAAUGGGCGAAAGCCUGAUCCAGCCAUUCCGCGUGCAGGAUGAGGGCCCUCGGGUUGUAAACUGCUUUUGUACAGAACGAAAAGGUUUCUAUUAAUACUAGGAGCUCAUGACGGUACUGUAAGAAUAAGCACCGGCCAACUACGUGCCAGCAGCCGCGGUAAUACGUAGGGUGCAAGCGUUAAUCGGAAUUACUGGGCGUAAAGCGUGCGCAGGCGGUUAUAUAAGUCAGAUGUGAAAUCCCCGGGCUCAACCUGGGAACUGCAUUUGAGACUGUAUAGCUAGAGUACGGUAGAGGGGGAUGGAAUUCCGCGUGUAGCAGUGAAAUGCGUAGAUAUGCGGAGGAACACCGAUGGCGAAGGCAAUCCCCUGGACCUGUACUGACGCUCAUGCACGAAAGCGUGGGGAGCAAACAGGAUUAGAUACCCUGGUAGUCCACGCCCUAAACGAUGUCAACUGGUUGUUGGGUCUUAACUGACUCAGUAACGAAGCUAACGCGUGAAGUUGACCGCCUGGGGAGUACGGCCGCCAGGUUGAAACUCAAAUGAAUUGACGG